UACGUAGGGUGCGAGCGUUAAUCGGAAUUACUGGGCGUAAAGGGUGCGCAGGCGGUUAUAUAAGACAGAUGUGAAAUCCCCGGGCUCAACCUGGGAACUGCGUUUGUGACUGUAUGACUAGAGUACGGUAGAGAGGGGUGGAAUUCCUGGUGUAGCAGUGAAAUGCGUAGAUAUCAGGAGGAGCAUCGAUGGCGAAGGCAGCCCCUUGGACCUGUACUGACGCUCGAUGCACGAAAGCGUGGGGAGCGAAACAGG
rnacentral:rRNA from 1 species